rnacentral:rRNA from 1 species
UCGGGAAUUUUGGGCAAUGGGCGAAAGCCUGACCCAGCAACGCCGCGUGAGGGAUGAGGUAUUUCGGUAUGUAAACCUCGAAAGAAUGGGAAGAAUAAAUGACGGUACCAUUUAUAAGCUCCGGCUAACUACGUGCCAGCAGCCGCGGUAAUACGUAGGGAGCAAGCGUUGUUCGGGUUUACUGGGCGUAAAGGGCGCGUAGGCGGCGCGGUAAGUCACUUGUGAAAUCUCUGAGCUUAACUCAGAACGGCCAAGUGAUACUGCUGGGCUAGAGUGCGGAAGAGGCGACCGGAAUUCAUGGUGUAGCGGUGAAAUGCGUAGAUAUCAAGAGGAACACCUGAGGCGAAGGCGGGUUGCUGGGCCGACACUGACGCUGAUGCGC